UGAUUAUUUAGACAACGGGUCAGCUAUGACAUUUUUGCCUGUGUGGGUGCUGUCACCUAUAUAAACACGCAGAACAAUUAAUCUGUACUAACGAGAAGUGUCGCCGCUGUAGAAUAUUGCUGUAAGCGCAAUGCAGUAGUAUGAACUCCUGUCACUGAAGUAUAAUAUAUAUAUAAACACAUUCCGGUCUUUGAACAACGCCACACAAACAUAAUCAGGAGAACUGCUAUCUUCCUAUCUCGUCUCUCGGAUUUCUACGACAAAAUUGUAGGAAUGAUGUAGUAUCGCUAAUACAGGUUGGCAGCAUAAACUUCCACACAUUUUUGUGAGGAAAGGAGGAACUGAUUUACCAGCAGGAUGCUAAUGUAUUUCGGGCUUCAGCUGAUGAUACUGCCAUGUUUGUUCUACUGUGGUGACUGUAUUCUCCUGAAGUCGCUCCUCACACUACAAGAUAUGGAUACAUACGGUAUUUCAGCAGAUGAUAUUUUGUCGUUCGAGAGACAGAGAUAUGACUCAGGAAAACCGCUGAUAAGUGGCGUACGGGGAUUUCAUCCAUGGGGAGGUAAACGAAGCUCGCCAAGUCAUAAGAAUUGGAAUAUUUUAGUAGCGAUUAACUACGGGAUUGAGGGGAAUCAUCGACGGCCAGCCUGGUCUCAUGAUAGCCUGCAGAAACAUGAUAUGUCAUGAGGAUUCAACAAGUUAUCAAGGAAGUUUUGAUUUAAAGAAUUAAUCCUUAGUUUGUAUAUCUUUUGAUCUAUACCAAACGACCUAAAGACCUUGUCAUCAAUGUGUAUGAAUAAAACUUUCUGUACAAACAU